rnacentral:rRNA from 1 species
AUGGCGACCGGCGCACGGGUGAGUAACACGUAUCCAACCUGCCGAUAACUCGGGGAGUAGCCUUUCGAAAGAAAGAUUAAUACCCGAUGGCAUAAUAGAACCGCAUGGUUUGUAUUAUUAAAAGAAUUUCGGUUUAUCGAUGGGGAUGCGUUCCAUUAGGCAGUUGGUGGGGUAACGGCCCACCAAACCUUCGAUGGAUAGGGGUUCUGAGAGGAAGGUCCCCCACAUUGGAACUGAGACACGGUCCAAACUCCUACGGGAGGCAGCAUG